CGUACGCAACUUUCCUCAAACCGGGGCACAACCUUGAGAAAUCAGGGCUAAUUCCCCAUAACAUUGCGAGAGGGCAUCUGAUUGCAAUUAAAGAUUCGUCGGUUUGAGAUGGGCGUGCGUUCGAUUAGCUAGUUGGUAGGGUAACGGCUUACCAAGGCAACGAUCGAUAGCUGGUGUGAGAGCACGACCAGCCACACGGGCACUGAGAUACGGGCCCGACUCCUACGGGAGGCAGCAGUAAGGAAUAUUGGUCAAUGGACGAAAGUCUGAACCAGCCAUGCCGCGUGAGGGAUGAAGGUCCUCUGGAUUGUAAACCUCUUUUAUCUGUGAAUAAAUGCCUGAUUUCUAUCGGGUUUGAAGGUAAUAGAUGAAUAAGCACCGGCUAACUCCGUGCCAGCAGCCGCGGUAAUACGGAGGGUGCAAGCGUUAUCCGGAUUUACUGGGUUUAAAGGGUGCGUAGGUGGGUUGGUAAGUCAGUGGUGAAAUACUUUCGCUUAACGAAGGAACUGCCAUUGAUACUACCAGUCUUGAAUGCAGUGGAGGCAGGCGGAAUGCGUCAUGUAGCGGUGAAAUGCUUAGAUAUGACGCAGAACACCAAUUGC
rnacentral:rRNA from 1 species